CACGGGGGGAGCAAGCGUUGUUCGGAUUCAUUGGGCGUAAAGGGCUCGUAGGUGGCUCUGUAAGUCGGAGGUGAAAGACCACGGCUCAACCCUGGAAUGCCGGUGGAUACUGUCGGGCUCGAAUCCGGAAGAGGUGAGUGGAACUCCUGGUGUAGCGGUGAAAUGCGCAGAUAUCAGGAGGAACACCAAUGGCGAAGGCAGCUCACUGGGACGGUAUUGACGCUGAGACGCGAAAGCGUGGGGAGCAAACAGG
rnacentral:rRNA from 1 species